rnacentral:tRNA from 1 species
GCGGAUAUCGUUUAGUGGCAGGAUAACUGCUUCCCAAGCAGUGGACGCGAGUUCGAUUCUCGCUAUCCGCA